AUUGAACGCUGGCGGCAGGCCUAACACAUGCAAGUCGAGCGGAUCGUCGGACGGGUGAGUAUUGUCUAGGAAUCUGCCUCGUUGUGGGGGAUACCGUCCGGUAACGGGCCCUAAUACCGCAUCCUCUCAGAUGAGCCUCGGGCGUAUGAGCUAGUUGGUGGAGCAAUGGCCUACCAAGGCGACGAUCCGUCACUGGUCUUAGAGGAUGAUCAGUCACACUGGAAAGGAGACACGGUCCGAACUCCUACGGGAGGCAGCAGUAGGGAAUAUUGGGCAAUGGGCGAAAGCCUGAUCCAGCCAUGCCGCGUGAGUGAAGAAGGUCUUCGGAUUGUAAAGCACUUUAAGUUGGGAGGCGUUACCGACAGAAUAAGCACCGGCUAACUUCGUGCCAGCAGCCGCGGUAAUAC
rnacentral:rRNA from 1 species